rnacentral:rRNA from 1 species
GCGUUCUGUAAGCCGUUGAAGGUGGCCUGUGAGGGUUGCUGGAGGUAUCAGAAGUGCGAAUGCUGACAUAAGUAACGAUAAAGCGGGUGAAAAGCCCGCUCGCCGGAAGACCAAGGGUUCCUGUCCAACGUUAAUCGGGGCAGGGUGAGUCGACCCCUAAGGCGAGGCCGAAAGGCGUAGUCGAUGGGAAACAGGUUAAUAUUCCUGUACUUGGUGUUACUGCGAAGGGGGGACGGAGAAGGCUAUGUUAGCCGGGCGACGGUUGUCCCGGUUUAAGCAUGUAGGCGGAGGUUC